rnacentral:rRNA from 1 species
CCUACGGGUGGCAGCAGUAAGGAAUAUUGGUCAAUGGACGAAAGUCUGAACCAGCCAUGCCGCGUGGAGGAUGAAGGUCCUCUGGAUUGUAAACUUCUUUUAUAUGGGACGAAAAAGGCCUUUCUAGGCCGUCUGACGGUACCAUAUGAAUAAGCACCGGCUAACUCCGUGCCAGCAGCCGCGGUAAUACGGAGGGUGCAAGCGUUAUCCGGAUUCACUGGGUGCGUAGGGGGGUUAGGUGGGUUGAGAUGAAAUCUCCGAGCUUAACUUGGAAACUGCCAUUGAUACUAUUAAUCUUGAAUAUUGUGGAGGUUAGCGGAAUAUGUCAUGUAGCGGUGAACUGCUUAGAUAUGACAUAGAACACCAAUUGCGAAGGCAGCUGGCUACACAUAUAUUGACACUGAGGCACGAAAGCGUGGGGAUCAAACAGGAGUAGAUACCCCUGUAGUC